GAUGAACGCUGGCGGCGUGCUUAACACAUGCAAGUCGAGCGAGAAGUUUUGAAAAGAUUCUUCGGAUGAAAUUUAAAAUGGAAAGCGGCGGACGGGUGAGUAACGCGUAGGCAACCUGCCCCAUACAAAGGGAUAGCAUUUGGAAACGAAUAUUAACACCUUAUGAAACUUAACUAGUGCAUGCUAGGUAGGUCAAAGAUUUAUCGGUAUGGGAUGGGCCUGCGUCUGAUUAGCUAGUUGGUGAGGUAACGGCUCACCAAGGCGACGAUCAGUAGCCGACCUGGGAGGGGGAAAGGCCACAUUGGAACGUGGACACGGUCCAAACCCCUACGGGGGGAAGCAGGGGGGAAUAUUGGAAAAUGGGGGAAACCCUGAUGCAGCAACGCCGCGUGAACGAUGAAGGCCUUUGGGUCGUAAAGUUCUGUUCUAGGUGAUGAAAACUGACAGUAACCGAGGAGAAAGCCCCGGCUAACUCCGUG
rnacentral:rRNA from 1 species